rnacentral:misc_RNA from 1 species
AUAUUAAAUUUGUUUUCAAUUUUUGAUCCUUCAACAAAAAUUUUUAGAUUAAAUUGAAUUUCUUCUUUAAUUGGUUUAUUUAUCAUUCCUCAAAUAUAUUGAUUGAUAAGAUCACGAAUUUUAUUUUUAAUAAUUAAUUUUAUAUUGAUUUUAUGAAUAGAAUUUAAAAUUAUUUUAAAAAAUAAGUUUAAUAUAAAUAAUUUAUUAUUUUAUAUUUCUUUAUUUUUAUUUAUUAUAAUAAAUAAUUUUAUAGGGUUGUUCCCUUAUAUUUUUACAAGAUCAAGACAUUUAAUUUAUUCUUUAGGAUUAUCUUUACCUAUAUGAUUAGGAUUAAUAAUAUUUGGUUGAAUUAAAAAUACUAAUUUUAUAUUUGUUCAUUUAGUUCCUCAGGGUACUCCUUUUAUUUUAAUAUUUUUUAUAGUAUUAAUUGAAUCAUUAAGAAAUAUUAUUCGUCCUUUUACAUUAUCAAUUCGAUUAACUGCUAAUAUAAUUGCUGGCCAUUUAUUAUUAACUUUGUUAAGAAGAUUUAUUCCUAAUUUUUUUUUAUUUUAUUUAAUUGUAUUAAUUUUACAAUUAAUAUUAUUAAUUUUAGAGAUUUCAGUUUCUUUAAUUCAAUCUUAUGUAUUUGUAAUUUUAAUAAUUUUAUAUUUAAAAGAAACAAAUUAUGAUAAAAUUUAA